rnacentral:rRNA from 1 species
UACGUAGGGUGCAAGCGUUAAUCGGAAUUACUGGGCGUAAAGCGUGCGCAGGCGGUUAUGCAAGACAGAUGUGAAAUCCCCGGGCUUAACCUGGGAACCGCAUUUGUGACUGCAUAGCUGGAGUACGGCAGAGGGGGAUGGAAUUCCGCGUGUAGCAGUGAAAUGCGUAGAUAUGCGGAGGGAACACCGAUGGCGAAGGCAGUCCCCUGGGCCUGUACUGACGCUCAUGCACGAAAGCGUGGGGAGCAAACAGG